rnacentral:rRNA from 1 species
UACGUAGGGGGCAAGCGUUGUCCGGAUUUAUUGGGCGUAAAGAGCGUGUAGGCGGCCUGGUAGGUCAGCUGUGAAAACUCGAGGCUCAACCUCGAGACGCCGAUGGAAACCAUCUGACUAGAGUCCGGAAGAGGAGAGUGGAAUUCCUGGUGUAGCGGUGAAAUGCGCAGAUAUCAGGAAGAACACCCGUGGCUAAGGCGGCUCUCUAGUACGGUACUGACGCUGAGACGCGAAAGCGUGGGGAGCGAACAGG